AGAUUGAACGCUGGCGGCAUGCCUUACACAUGCAAGUCGAGCGGCAGCGCGGGGGCAACCCUGGCGGCGAGCGGCGAACGGGUGAGUAAUGCAUCGGAACGUGUCCUUUUGUGGGGGAUAACCAGUCGAAAGACUGGCUGAUACCGCAUGAGCUCGAGAGAGGAAAGCAGGGGAUCCGCAAGGACCUUGCGCGAGAGGAGCGGCCGAUGCCCGAUUAGCUAGUUGGUGGGGUAACGGCCUACCAAGGCGACGAUCGGUAGCUGGUCUGAGAGGACGACCAGCCACACUGGGACUGAGACACGGCCCAGACUCCUACGGGAGGCAGCAGUGGGAAUUUUGGACAAGUGGGGGCAACCCGUGAUCCAGGCCAUCGCCGCGUGUGUGAAGAAGGCCUUCGGUGUAAAGCACGUUUCGGCCGGAACGAAAUCGUACGCGAUCUAAUAAGUCGCGU
rnacentral:rRNA from 1 species